GAUGAACGCUGGCGGCGUGCUUAACACAUGCAAGUCGAACGAAACACCUUAUUUGAUUUUCUUCGGAACUGAAGAUUUGGUGAUUGAGUGGCGGACGGGUGAGUAACGCGUGGGUAACCUGCCCUGUACAGGGGGAUAACAGUCAGAAAUGACUGCUAAUACCGCAUAAGACCACAGCACCGCAUGGUGCAGGGGUAAAAACUCCGGUGGUACAGGAUGGACCCGCGUCUGAUUAGCUGGUUGGUGAGGUAACGGCUCACCAAGGCGACGAUCAGUAGCCGGCUUGAGAGAGUGAACGGCCACAUUGGGACUGAGACACGGCCCAAACUCCUACGGGAGGCAGCAGUGGGGAAUAUUGCACAAUGGGGGAAACCCUGAUGCAGCGACGCCGCGUGAGUGAAGAAGUAUUUCGGUAUGUAAAGCUCUAUCAGCAGGGAAGAAAAUGACGGUACUUGACUAAGAAGCCCCGGCUAACUACGUG
rnacentral:rRNA from 1 species